UGUUAGUAUGUCUGUGUGUGUGUGUGUUAGUAUGUCAGUAUGUCAUACUGACAUACACACACAGACAUACUGACAUA